ensembl:lncRNA
GAGCAGGUCAUUUUGUUAGCAGAUGGAAGGCAAGCGACUCAGCCAUUGAACCCCCACCCCCGCUUUGAGUACCCAGACGCCUGGACCUAGGACAUCAUCCUCAGGUGAGGCCAAAUCCAGCUUCUCCAUAAAACCAGGAAGAAGAGCAAGCAGGACUGCCAGGGUGGAACCCGAGGAAGGAAAAUCCUUCACAGACCACAGAUGGCAUUGUUUGCAAUGAAGAGAAAUGUAGAUAAGAGGAAAGAUGCAGUGACUUACUUGGAUUUUCUAUAUAAAUCAUCACAGCACCUGAAAGCACAGGGCUGUAUCUGGGGAGGCCCAAGAAAGCCAGAGAAAAGAGGCCAGGCUCUCCAGGACUGGUGAGAUGCUCCACCAUCAGAGGCUCUGCCCAUUGGGCUCCUGGCUAGACCAAGAGGACAACACAUGAGACAGAUAAAGUUCUGAUUCUGACCAGGAUUCUUCGGUGUUGAGAUGGAACUUUGGAUCUGCAGCAACUCAACCCUAAACAUCUUGCUACCAGCUUGAGGGCAAGGCCAGGACCAAAGAUAGUAGACCAGAAAGAUGGAGAACACUCAUAUCUCUGAUGUCAUUUGCUGGAUGAAUUGUAACUAAAACCUAUUUUAUUUUGGCUUGAGUUAGGAUUCCUAUCACUUGCAGCCAAAUGCACCAUAAUUUAGUAUGGCUCUCUGAGGACAAGACAACCUGGAACUCAAAGCACCUGAAUAGAAAAACCUUAGCUCAAUCAAUGAGGCAUAGUGUACUUUAGUUGAGUUUUCAAUGAAUGUUUUAUUGGCAGGAACUAGAAAAUAGUCAGGAUUCUACAUUGUAUAAAUUAUAACCAUUGCUUAUAAUCAGGCUUAGCCAAUUGAUUUCAAGGAGAUACUAUCCUCUUGUCUAAAUGGGGCUGGACAUUUUCCACUAAUCCAGAGGAAGGAUGGUUAUUGUAACCACAAAGGAAACUAACAACAUUAAGUGAUACAUGAAAGUAAAUCACAUUGGCUUAGAAUAAUUUGCCUUUUCCAAUUCUUAAAGAAAAGGAGAGAAACUAAUCUUUAUUGAGU